AAACACAAUGCAAAGCUGUAUAUGUCAUUACACAGACACAGCAGGCCUUAUUGCAUACACGCCGUUCAACUUUAUGAUGCAUCAUCCUUAUCUCAACUCAUCCCGGUACAAAAACAAGAGGAACCCAGAGGACCAUCAGAGCCCAGAGAGGAACGAACAGGACAACAAGUGCACCAAGCCGAGUUGCACCACUGACUGCUGCAGGCCAGUCAGCAGAGGAAACUCCAGUACAAUCAAAAAGGCUGGUUCCCAGUGCAUGUCUGCAAUGUGUCUGUCUCCCCAUCUGCAUGUGUUAUUUGAGUUCAAUGACACUGCUUCACAGACUGAUUUAAGUCUUAUUUUGCAGACUUGAAUGCAGCCAUAUUUUGAAACACAGCACAUAAACAUGCACAAAGUGGAAAAACAUGUUUUUUUUUGUUCUGCGACUUCAACUCUUUCCAUUUAUUUCCAUGGCGUCUGGUUAGAAAAAAAGAUUGGUGAGAAACUGUCAAUAUGGUAUCUAUAAAAAUGGACUGACUGAUA